ACGGAAGGCAGCAGUGGGGAAUAUUGGGCAAUGGGCGUAAGCCUGACCCAGCAACGCCGCGUGAAGGAUGAAGGUCUUCGGAUUGUAAACUUCUUUGAUUGGGGAAGAAUAAAUGACCUACCCAAAGAACAAGCCACGGCUAACUACGUGCCAGCAGCCGCGGUAAUACGUAGGGGGCAAGCGUUAUCCGGAUUUACUGGGUGUAAAGGGCGUGUAGGCGGAGCUGCAAGUCAGAUGUGAAAUCCCGGGGCUCAACCCCGGAACUGCAUUUGAAACUGUAGCCCUUGAGUAUCGGAGAGGCAAGCGGAAUUCCUAGUGUAGCGGUGAAAUGCGUAGAUAUUAGGAGGAACACCAGUGGCGAAGGCGGCUUGCUGGACGACAACUGACGCUGAGGCGCGAAAGCGUGGGGAGCAAACAGGAUUAGAUACCCUGGUA
rnacentral:rRNA from 1 species